rnacentral:rRNA from 1 species
UACGUAGGGGGCAAGCGUUAUCCGGAUUUACUGGGUGUAAAGGGAGCGUAGACGGCUGUGCAAGUCUGGAGUGAAAGGCAUGGGCUCAACCUGUGGACUGCUUUGGAAACUGUGCAGCUAGAGUGUCGGAGAGGUAAGUGGAAUUCCUAGUGUAGCGGUGAAAUGCGUAGAUAUUAGGAGGAACACCAGUGGCGAAGGCGACUUACUGGACGAUGACUGACGUUGAGGCUCGAAAGCGUGGGGAGCAAACAGG